CUUCUCUCGAUCUCAUGGUCGAUGUGUAUUGAUUGAUCUGCGAUCAAGCUUCUUAAGUAGAUGGAUGAUGAAUGAAUUACGGACAUCUUCAUCGCUGAAGCUCGGAAAAACGACGUAUCUCUUGCUGCGAGAAGAAGAAGAUACUCUAAACCUCGACAAUGACUAUACGACUGGGGAUGAGAUGGAUCUGGAUGAGGAGAAU